rnacentral:tRNA from 1 species
GCGCCCGUAGCUCAACUGGAUAGAGCAACGGCCUUCUAAGCCGUAGGUUGCAGGUUCAAGUCCUGCCGGGCGCG